AUUGAACGCUGGCGGCAGGCCUAACACAUGCAAGUCGAACGAGUGGCGGACGGGAGUGUAAUGUCUGUGAAACUGCCUGAUGGAGGGGGAUAACUACUGGAAACGGUAGCUAAUACCGCCUACCAUCGGAUGUGCCCAGAUGGGAUUAGCUAGAAGGUGGGGUGAAGGCUCACAUAGGCGAUGACACCUAGCUGGACUGUGAGGAUGACCAGCCACGCUGGAGCUGAGACACGGUCCUGACUCCUACGGGAGGCAGCAGUGGGAAAUAUUGCACAAUGGGCGCAAGCCUGAUGCAGCCAUGCCGCGUAUAUGAAGAAGGCCGUCGGGUUGUAAAGUACUUUCAGCGGGGAGGCGUUACCCGCAGAAGAAGCACCGGCUAACUCCGGGCCAGCCGCCGCGGUAAUUC
rnacentral:rRNA from 1 species